CCAGAUGUAGGUGAUGGGGAGGAAGGCAGCAGAUCACACUGCCAUGUGUGUACCCAUGCAGCAGUCUUGCAUGUUCUUCACAUGUACCCCAAAACCUAAAAUGGAAUUUAAAAAAAAAAAGACUGAGAGUCGGUCUGGCACCCUGGAAUAUGAGGUGAGUUUAGACAUUCCUGAAAGAGCAGAGGCUGAAGGUCUCCAGGACUAACUCAGGUGACAAGAGGGGGACCCUUCCCUGGACACCCCACCGCUUCACUCUCUCUGGAUACCCCACCUCUCCUCUGAGGAGUAGGCCACGUUGGAGCUGGGAGGAGCCCACACUCUGCCAUCAGACACCCCGGGAUUCCAAGGUGGGCAGCCUUGCGCAAGCCACCUCCUGGCUCUGAGCCUCCCCCUCCGCCUCAGCCACCUGCAGACAAGGAGGACCCAUACCCCUGUUGAUGCAGAUGCUGAGAGAUAAGAGGGAGACCAAAGAAGCUGCGACAAAGCACAUGAGACACACCCUCCACCAUCGGCUCUUGUCACUGUAUAUUCAAGUGUUUGCAAAACUGGUCCAUGGACCCCAAAGCAUCCACAUCACCUGUGUGCACCUGGUAAACACGACGAUACCUGGUCUCCACUGCCGUCUAUUCCGACUUUGUGAGCUCAGGGCCAUGGAAAUGAUUUAAACAAAUGCCCCAGGUAAUUUUUUUUUUUUUUUUUUUUUUUGGUUACAAAAGUAUUUAUUGUUAUGGGACAUUUUUAAAUAUUAAGAAAAAACUGUGAUCAACUGAAAUGUCCAACCAGAGAGAAUUAGUUAAGUAAAUUAUGAUAAAGCUUUAUGAUAGAAUACAAUAAACCCAUUAAGAAUAAUGCUUAUAUUAAUAGAUAAAACAUAUGUUGACAUAGGAAAAUGUUCCUGAGUGGUUGUCAAAUGAAAAAAUAUACUUUAAUAAAAACACAUAUGCCAUUUUCAUAGAAUUUACAUGUAUAUGGGAAAAAAGACAGUAAGUAUGAACGUUACUAAUGAUCAGUUAUGAAUGUUACUGAUAUUUUUCAUUUUAUUUGUGCUCUAUUUUUCAUGUUUAAUGUAUUACCAUAGUAAUGUUUUAAUGUUUAAUUAUUAAAAAUAAUUCUUGCCAAAU